rnacentral:rRNA from 2 species
AUAAGCAUAAUACGGCGAAACUGCGAAUGGCUCAUUAUAUAAGUUAUCGUUUAUUUGAUAGCACAUUACUACUUGGAUAACCGUGGUAAUUCUAGAGCUAAUACAAGCUAAAAAUCCCGACUUCGGAAGGGAUGUAUUUAUUAGAUUAAAAACCAAUGCCCUCUGGGCUCUCUGGUGAAUCAUGAUAACUGCUCGAAUCGCAGGGCCUCGUGCCGGCGAUGGUUCAUUCAAAUUUCUUCCCUAUCAACUUUCGAUGUUUGGGUAUUGGCCAAACAUGGUUACAACGGGUAACGGAGGGUUAGGGCUCGACCCCGGAGAAGGAGCCUGAGAGACGGCUACUACAUCCAAGGAAGGCAGCAGGCGCGCAAAUUACCCAAUCCCGACACGGGGAGGUAGUGACAAUAAAUACUGAUACAGGGCUCUUUCGGGUCUUGUAAUUGGAAUGAGUACAAUUUAAAUCCCUUAACGAGGAACAAUUGGAGGGCAAGUCUGGGC